AUGUUGUUGCAGUUAAAAAGCUCGUAGUUGGAUUUUGGUGUUCGACAAAUGGUCUGCUUCGGUUUGUACUGUUUGUUGGCGCUUCUUUUCUGGGGAACUCACUGCUCUUAACUGAGGGGUGUUGUAACGCAGAUCGUUUACUUUGAAAAAAUUAGAGUGUUCAAAGCAGGCCAACGCAUUUUGAAUACAUUAGCAUGGAAUAAUGGAAUAGGACUUUGGUCUUAUUUUGUUGGUUUCUAAGGCCGAGGUAAUGAUUAAUAGGGAUAGUUGGGGGCGUUUAUAUUCCGUUGUCAGAGGUGAAAUUCUUGGAUUUACGGAAGAUAAACUACUGCGAAAGCAUUCGCCAAGGAUGUUUUCAUUAAUCAAGAACGAAAGUUAGGGGAUCGAAGACGAUCAGAUACCGUCGUAGUCUUAACCAUAAACCAUGCCNACUAGGGAUCAGCAGACGUUCUUUUACGACUCUGUUGGCACCUUGUGAGAAAUCAAAGUUUUUGGGUUCCGGGGGGAGUAUGGUCGCAAGGCUGAAACUUAAAG
rnacentral:rRNA from 1 species